UACGACGUAUCAGAGUUUGAUCCUGGCUCAGGAUGAACGCUAGCGGCAGGCUUAACACAUGCAAGUCGAGGGGCAGCAUAAUGAAGUAGCAAUACGGAAUUGAUGGCGACCGGCGCACGGGUGCGUAACGCGUAUGUAACCUACCUCUAACAGGGGGAUAACACUGAGAAAUUGGUACUAAUACCCCAUAACACUUCGGAGGGCAUCCUCUGGGGUUGAAAGUUCCGGCGGUUAGAGAUGGACAUGCGUUGUAUUAGCUAGAUGGUGAGGUAAUGGCUCACCAUGGCGACGAUACAUAGGGGGACUGAGAGGUUAACCCCCCACAUUGGUACUGAGACACGGACCAA
rnacentral:rRNA from 1 species